ACCAUAUACCUGGGGAGCUUGCAGCCGCGCGGCGGCCGGGCAGGCUGAGAGGGGGCGCCGUGCACGCCCCGACCCGCCGAACCUGAUAUGGGUAAUGCCAACGAAGGGAGUUUCCAUGACUGACCG
rfam:Adlercreutzia equolifaciens DSM 19450 DNA, complete genome.